ACUGGGAUUCGGUUAUACAUGUACAGGAUAGGUGGGAGGCUUUGAAAUGAGGACGCCAGUCUUCAUGGAGCCGCUGUUGGGAUACCACCCUUGUGUGACUGGGUUUCUAACCUGCAGCCGUGACCCGGCUGGGGGACAAUGUCAGGUGGGGAGUUUGACUGGGGCGGUCGCCUCCGAAAGGGUAUCGGAGGCGCUCAAAGGUUCCCUCAGAAUGGUUGGAAACCAUUUGCAGAGUGCAAAGGCAUAAGGGAGCUUGACUGCGAGACCGACGGGUCGAGCAGGUAGGAAACUAGGACUUAGUGAUCCGGUGGUAUAAAGUGGGAUUGCCAUCGCUCAACGGAUAAAAGCUACCCUGGGGAUAACAGGCUUAUCACUCCCAAGAGUUCACAUCGACGGAGUGGUUUGGCACCUCGAUGUCGGCUCAUCGCAUCCUGGGGCUGAAGUAGGUCCCAAGGGUUGGGCUGUUCGCCCAUUAAAGCGGUACGCGAGCUGGGUUCAGAACGUCGUGAGACAGUUCGGUCCCUAUCCGGCGUGGGCGUAGGAUAUUUGAGAGGAGCUGUCCUUAGUACGAGAGGACCGGGAUGGACUGACCUCUGGUGCAUCGGUUG
rnacentral:rRNA from 1 species